GGGGCGUGGCCUCUCCUGACAGGAAGGCUCUGGGGCCCCGGGAGGGAGAAUGAGGUCUCAGAAUGAUGCCCUGAAAGACCUGUUCCCUUUCACCAAUGCACAGACCCAGAAGACCCCUCCAUCCUGUAGCACCUGCCAUGCGCAUCAAGCUCCUGUGCUGUGCAGCCUUUUCUCUCCUGUGGCCAGGUCCAGUGAGUGCUGGUGUCACUCAGACCCCAAAAUUCCAAAUCCUGAAGACAGGACAGAGCAUGACACUGCAGUGUGCCCAGGAUAUGAACCAUAACUACAUGUACUGGUAUCGACAAGACCCAGGCAUGGGACUGAGGCUGAUUCAUUACUCAGUUGGUAAAGGUAGCACUGACACAGGAGAAGUCCCUGAUGGCUACAGUGUCUCCAGAUCAAACCUACAGAAUUUCAUGCUUAGGCUGGAGUCGGCUGCUCCCUCCCAGACAUCUGUGUACUUCUGUGCCAGCAGUGAAGCCACAGUGCUGCACGGCCGUCUCCUCUCUGCACAUAAAGGCAGGAGAGGCUCUGCCCUCAUCCCCACCCCAGACUCAGCAAUGCCCUUGGUCCUACCACCAGAAACUUUGGAUCCCCACUGUGCCUGGCCAGUGGGAGCCUUGGUCUGUGCCAGGUGCCUCUGCACACCAGACCUCCUCCAGGUCUCUAUGCUCUCCUUCGGACUCUUUCCCCACAACAACUCUAGACAGAUUGGAGAUCCAUUUCCAGAAACCCAUGCACACAGGUUUGUGAUUUUGGAACCACUUCUGGUACCAGAAACUCCAUUAGGUUUACAUCAAUAA